rnacentral:rRNA from 1 species
AGUGAACGCUGGCGGUAGGCCUAACACAUGCAAGUCGAACGGCAGCACAGUAAGAGCUUGCUCUUACGGGUGGCGAGUGGCGGACGGGUGAGGAAUACAUCGGAAUCUACUUUUUCGUGGGGGAUAACGUAGGGAAACUUACGCUAAUACCGCAUACGACCUACGGGUGAAAGCAGGGGAUCUUCGGACCUUGCGCGAUUGAAUGAGCCGAUGUCGGAUUAGCUAGUUGGCGGGGUAAAGGCCCACCAAGGCGACGAUCCGUAGCUGGUCUGAGAGGAUGAUCAGCCACACUGGAACUGAGACACGGUCCAGACUCCUACGGGAGGCAGCAGUGGGGAAUAUUGGACAAUGGGCGCAAGCCUGAUCCAGCCAUACCGCGUGGGUGAAGAACGCCUUCGGGUUGUAAAGCCCUUUUGUUGGGAAAGAAAAGCAGCAGGUUAAUACCCCGCUGUUCUGACGGUACCCAAAGAAUAAGCACCGGCUAACUUCGUG